UGUGCCAGAAGAUAGUGCAAUAGUUGGCACAGAUACAGGCACAGAUUUAACCCUAAACUCGUGACACGGACAGUGUGCAUGGAAUCACGUGGAAAUGUAUUCAAACGUUGCUAUGGGGAUUUCGCUGCCACCCUAAAUACACCGAUAACCCAUCAAUUUCAGCGAAAUCGGACGACCUGGCAAACUGUGCUAUUUCAAUUGGCACGGUGAAAAAUUCAUCUAUUAUUGGUGGAUGAAACAUGUUAUAACAAUAUUUUGACAACAUCCGUUAAAUGAACAGAUUUUGGUCUUGUUUCGCGAUUUCAUGUCUUCGAACGAUUAUUAAAAGACUGGAUGGAUUAAUUCAAUUCUUGGCUGGGAUUAACAACUAAUAGAGGACGGGAUGAAAAGGGUUCACAGUUAACUGCUGAAUCAGCGAAAAGAUAGGGUAGACGAUUCGAGAAGAAUGUUUUAUGGCAAAGGUCCAAAUGAUGUUUGUAGCUCGACAAGGAAUUGUUAAUGAAUUUCUUUGUCUAUCAUGAUUAUGCUAUUUCCAUGAAAUUGUGUUGAAAAGUCUUGGAAUAUUUAUUAGAUUUAUUAAAUAUGAUCGAAAAUUG